CAGGAAUCAAAAAUGCAGGUGCUCCUCCUCUGCAAAGCCCCAGCAGAGGCAAAGCAGCAGGACAGGCACUCUGACACAGGGCCCUAAGGAGAGAGAUGGGCAGAAAGCAGAUCCUCACAGCACCACAGUAAAGCAUCACUGUGUUCAUAGUCAGUUUAGCAUUUUUCAGCUCUAUGCAUGCUCCCCUGGCUCUGUGGAUGCAUCCAGCGGCUGAAAUCCUUCCCCCAGGCAGAGUUAGGUGUGCAUCCAAAGCAUUCAUUCAUCUCAGAGCUGGGACACUCUGCAGCACUGGAGCCAGCAGACAGGCAGCCCCAGGGCAAACCAUCCUCCAGACAGGGGCCAGGAGCAGGAUGGGCUCGAACAGGGCAUGGGGUCAAAGCUCACAUUUCCAGAAGCCCCCUAAGCAACACAGUCCUGCCUCCAAAAGCAGUACUGCUUUACAAGCACAGCAGUGUGUCCUUCCCAGGCACUACAGAUGGAUUUUCAAAGAUAUUUCAGUCCUCCAAGGUACAAAGUGAAGACUGGAGGGGUUCUCAAAGGCAGCUCCUUGAGCAACCCAGGUAUCUGCAUCCAUCAGGCUCCUCAAUUACUUUGGCACUCUGAAUGCUGCAGUGGCAGAGACAUUCCCAGGUUCCCCAGACAAAUAUUGUUCAGGAGCAGCAGUUUGGAGGAAGCAGAAGCUCUUCUGCAGCGCACGGCACACGUCAGCCUGGCAGAUCCAAGCUCCCUUGCUUUCAGGAAGUACAAGAUGUUCCAAGUGCUUUGCUGAACCAUCAGAAGUCCCAGCUUGCAUGAAGGGAAGAUGCUGCCCAGGUCUCCACGGUCAUGAAAAGCUCCAGAAACCAAACCUGGGAAGAAGCAUCGUUCUGGCAGCAGUGCCAAGCUUGUCCCAUCCAAUUUCACCACAUCCAGCCAGGGAAAGAAUGAAGGGAAAGGGUGUUUGGGCAGCAUCAAAGGGGGAACAGGGGCACCUGGGAGGGACUUGGUGCUUUCUGCGCACUCUACUGUCCCCAUGCAUUAAUUACCCCACAUGGACAUGUUUUCAGGAUACAAAAAGCAGGCAGAUGAGCUCCCCCAGCAUCCUCGGAGAUGGGAAAACCCAGAGCACAGCACAUCAGGGGAAACAAAUUCCCACAUUAAACCCCCUUGCUUCUCUCUUCUUCCUGAUCA
ensembl:lncRNA